CACUAAUUGAUAUUGGGACAUCUCCUGAGAAGCCUCUAAAAUACAAAUCUCUGAGCCUUCAUGAUACAGAAGAGUACCACUAGAGGAAUUCAUCCAGCCAAAACUGGCAGCCCUGUUUCCCUGCUGGACUUGGAUUAGGUGUAGAAAAAGAUCCUGCAACUUUCUGAAGAGGAGAGAGAUAGAAGAAUGAUAGGGGAAGUGUUGCUGCUUGCAUUUUUUGCCUACACUGUGGAUGUGAAGUGAUUCCAAAUUUAACAUUACAAGAAUAUGGUUUUAAAAAAAUAGUUUAAGCAUGUGAGUGCCCCUGGGCGCAGAAGGAGGGGAAUGGAGACAGCAACGGAAGUGCCCUUGAUGGAGAGGUAUGACUUCUUCUGUGGGAGGCCCUGGAGGUGUGAGCUGGUGGAAAAAGUUAAAGGAAGAUGGCUGGAGGUGAUUCCCUAGGCUCCAAAUAGGGGUUGUAGCAGAUGUUGUGUGGGGGGAUUUGUUUU